AUACGUAGGUGGCAAGCGUUGUCCGGAAUUAUUGGGCGUAAAGCGCAUGUAGGCGGUUUGGUAAGUCGGUCGUGAAAAUGCGGUGCUUAACGCCGUAUGGCGAUUGAAACUGCUGAACUUGAGUGCAGGAGAGGAAAGGGGGACUCCCAGUGUAGCGGUGAAAUGCGUAGAUAUUGGGAAGAACACCGGUGGCGAAGGCGCCUUUCUGGACUGUGUCUGACGCUCAGAUGCGAAAGCCAGGGUAGCGAACGGGAUUAGAUACCCCGGUAGUCCUGGCCGUAAACGAUGGGUACUAGGUGUGGGAGGUAUCGACUCCUUCCGUGCCGGAGUUAACGCAAUAAGUACCCCGCCUGGGGAGUACGGCCGCAAGGCUUAAACUUAAAGGAAUUGACGGGG
rnacentral:rRNA from 1 species